rnacentral:lncRNA from 1 species
UACAUCACUACUGUGGCCCUAUAUAUUAUAUCGCAAAUCCACUUUCAUCAAAAGGAACACCAAUCAUUUACAGGGAGCGUUCCACCAACAUUUCAUAUUUAAAGUAGGGAGAGACCAAAAUCCCUCAAAGAUAAUAGUUAAACAGAUUUUCAUUCUCUUCUCUUUCAUGUUCAAUGUUUAAUCAUAAUAAUAUUUCAUGCAUAGGAUCCAAUGGUGAUCU